rnacentral:rRNA from 1 species
AUUAAACGCUGGCGGCAUGCCUUACACAUGCAAGUCGAACGGCAGCACGGGGGCAACCCUGGUGGCGAGUGGCGGACGGGUGAGUAAUGCAUCGGAACGUGCCCUGAAGUGGGGGAUAACGCAGCGAAAGCUACGCUAAUACCGCAUAUUCUGUGAGCAGGAAAGCAGGGGAUCGCAAGACCUUGCGCUUUGGGAGCGGCCGAUGUCGGAUUAGCUAGUUGGUGGGGUAAAGGCCUACCAAGGCGACGAUCCGUAGCGGGUCUGAGAGGAUGAUCCGCCACACUGGGACUGAGACACGGCCCAGACUCCUACGGGAGGCAGCAGUGGGGAAUUUUGGACAAUGGGCGGAAGCCUGAUCCAGCCAUGCCGCGUGAGUGAAGAAGGCCUUCGGUGUAAAGCUCUUUCGGCGGGAAGAAUUGCUUGGGUUAAUACCCUGAGUAGAUGACGGUACCCGAAUAAGAAGCACCGGCUAACUACGUGCCAGCAGCCGCGGUAAC